rnacentral:tRNA from 1 species
UGGGAUGCAGCUCAGUGGCAGAACAUGUGUUUAGCGUACACAAGGCCCUGAGUUCUAUUCCCAGCACCACAA